GUACGUAGGGUGCGAGCGUUAAUCGGAAUUACUGGGCGUAAAGCGUGCGCAGGCGGUUUUGUAAGUCUGUCGUGAAAGCCCCGGGCUUAACCUGGGAAUUGCGAUGGAGACUGCAAGGCUUGAAUCUGGCAGGAGGGGGGUAGAAUUCCACGUGUAGCAGUGAAAUGCGUAGAGAUGUGGAGGAACACCGAUGGCGAAGGCAGCCCCCUGGGUCAAGAUUGACGCUCGAUGCACGAAAGCGUGGGGGAGCAAACAGG
rnacentral:rRNA from 1 species